rnacentral:sRNA from 1 species
GCUUUAUAGAAUGGGUACACUGUGAUUUAUUUAUCCUUUCUCUACUUUUGAAUAUUUGAGUACGGCUUCUAGUUUGGGGCUAUUACAGCCAGUAUUCCUGUUUUUUUGGUUAACACAUGUAUGCAUUUCAGUCAGAAACAUCGAAAUAACCCCUGCAGCAUAUGAGACUUCCAAUUGCUCCACAUUCUCACCAACACUUAUUUUCCAUCUUUUUUGAAAAACAAUUGUAACAUCACAUUCUCCUUACAUCUCCUCCCACUGACCUUGGAAUCAGAACUAAAUUUCUUUACAUAACCUACACAACUCUGUGAUCUGGCCCUUACCUCCCCAAUUCUAUCUGCAUCUACAUGCAUCGUCUUAUUUCCCACCUAUUGUAUGUUGACCUUCUUCCUAAACAGUACUUGCCAUUCUCCUGCUACCCCUGGGCCUUGCACACAACAAACUCUUUGCUCUCUUUCCUAGGAUUAGCUCCUAAUCCUUCAAAUAUCAACUCGGUGGUCUCUUCCCCAGGACAAAUCCUGCUAUCAUAUGCUCUCAAAGCACCUCAGCUUCAGUUUAAAAGAUUAGCAUUAUUUGAUUUUAUAGACUCUCCAGUCUGGGCUCUGCCAGUGCAGAGAAGUAUAUUUUUACUCAUCAUUGCACAUGCGGGGGUUGGGACAGAGUUGGAGCUCAUAUAUUUGAAGGAACAAAUGAACAAAUGGGACACUGAUACAGUACUUUUGCCUCUCUAGUUUUUAUGGUGGGGUGAAUCUUACAUUUGAUAUGCAUUGGGGGAAACUGUCAGGUCUGAAACUGUUUUUGAUAUAGAGAACUUAAGAGAAUUACAUAAAUGUCAUUUGGCUAUAUAAUAUUCAUCUGAAUUUAACUUUUGCAACCGUUACUGUUUACCCAAGAGAAGUCAGUAAUGUCAGAUCACACUGUUCAAGGUCUAUUUGAUUAUAACCUUCAAAGAUGCUCAGUACAUCUCUGGGUCACAGCUAUUUGUGCAAUUUUCUAAAUGAACAAGGACAUUAGAUGCAUUGAUUUCACUGGCAUCCCCUCAAAUGGAGAACUGGCCAAUAAAACUGCUCUCAAGGGAGUAAACUCUGAAAUUUCCCCUGAAAAUUUUAUUUCCAUCUUUACACAAUUAGAAGAGAGAAGCCACUCCCAGUGUAGCAAACCCAUAACCAAAGGGCCCCAAGGCUUUGUGUUUGGUCCUCACUGCCUGAUUAAAUGUCUCAGUCUGUUUUGUGCUGCUACCACAGACUGGAUAAUUUGUAAUGAACAGAAACUUCUCAUAGUUCUGAAGGCUGGGAAGUCCAGGGGCUGGCAUCUGCUGAGGGCAUUCUUGCUGUGUCAUCCCAUUGCAGAAGGGCAAAAAGGCUAGCUUCCAGCUUUUUUUAGGACUUGAGCCUUGGAAUAAGGGUCCUGCAAACAUUUACUCAUGUCUCCCUGUUCCAGAGCCUGUCCCACUGUGAACUCAUCACAGAUGAUGGGAUCCUGCACCUGAGCAACAGCACCUGUGGCCAUGAGAGGCUGCGGGUACUGGAGUUGGACAACUGCCUCCUCAUCACUGAUGUGGCCCUGGAACACCUAGAGAACUGCCGAGGCCUGGAGCGCCUUGAGCUGUACGACUGCCAGCAGGUUACCCGUGCAGGCAUCAAGCGGAUGCGGGCUCAGCUCCCUCAUGUCAAAGUCCACGCCUACUUUGCUCCCGUCACCCCACCGACAGCAGUGGCAGGAAGUGGACAGCGACUGUGCAGGUGCUGUGUCAUUCUCUGACAGCAGCUGCCUGGGCCCAAGGGGUGAUGAGGCAUCCUUUCCUCUAGAAGACCUGAGUCUUCCUGACCUACUCCACCAUCACCCCAUCUGUUGAUUCUCCAUUGGGAAAGGCAUUUACAGGUAAAAGACUUCUGUAUGGAUUGCAGUUACUCUGGUGAUAGUUUUCACCUUUAUUCUGCUGUGAAACAAUCAAAUCAAAGCCUUGUGUCAGUUAACACGUGACAAGUGGUCUCAAUGCAGCUAGGACCAUGCCAGAAACCUGGAUCUCUUAAGAGAUUGGUACUCCUAGGUACAAAAGUUCUACCCUUGGCAUUAUCAGCAUUCCUCAAAAAGACCAUCAGUGUUAGCACAAACUGAGCAGAAAAAAUAAGCUGUUGAUUUUCUACCUGAUACUUAAGCCAGUGGCCUACUUUAAUUCACAAUUCCAUUUUGAUUAGCAGGACUUUUCCACUUUGAAGAUAAAAUAGCAACUUUAUCAAAGUGACUAUACUGCAAAUUCAUAAUGCCUGAUAGUUUUAUAUGUAGAGACUUAUGUGGAAGGCAUGUUAAUAGGUUUCCAUGAGACACCAAAGAAAAGAGGACUCUAUACUGGGUGGAGCAGGGUCUUCACCUUUUUGUUUCUGUCAACUUGUCAUAUACACCUCUAGGGACCAAAAACAAAAGCAGCUGAGUCUGUGUUGCCUGAUUGGAAAGUAGAAGCUCUGGUGUAUGCUACAGCACAUAAUGCAUUUUUAUUAAAGGAAAAAAGCUAAUUAUGUCCAUGCCUCUCAUAAAACUGGGGGGGAACCUUAAAGAGAAAGAACUAAGGCUUAAGUUAUGUGUAGUAUAAUCAAUUAGAAGUAAUGAAUGGAUGCAUGUAAAAUGGAUGUGAUUUUUUUUCAAGCUUAUUUUGAAAUCUUAAAAAUCAGGUUACACCAUAGCUACUCAAAAGUUUUACAGACUUAAAACUCAGAUCAGUAAGUGUUGGUACCUUUUAGACUCAUAAAAAUUGAAUAAACCAUUGCAAUGCUUU